rnacentral:rRNA from 1 species
GACGAACCGUGCGAACGUUAUUCGGAAUCACUGGGCUUAAAGGGCGCGUAGGCGGGUCCUCAAGUCAGGGGUGAAAUCCCACGGCCCAACCGUGGAAGUGCCUUUGAUACUGAGGGCCUCGAGGGGGAUAGGGGCGUGCGGAACUCAGGGUGGAGCGGUGAAAUGCGUAGAUAUCCUGAGGAACACCGGUGGCGAAAGCGGCGCGCUGGACUCCUUCGUGACGCUGAGGCGCGAAAGCCAGGGGAGCAAACGGG